AAACUUCGUUAUAAGCGUAUUUUACUGUUUGCCUUCCUUUUUUCAUAUUCUUCGUCAUUGGGAUCGAUCAUCUGGAACAUAGUAUACAGCUUUACACUGGGCAGCAAAGCAUGGGAAACCCGAGGUGAUAAAACUAUUGGCUAGUCAACGUGGCUUUGACAUCAAUAGGACAACGAAUGUAAGUAUCAGUUCAAAUUAUUAAUAUCUCAAAUUGUUGUUCAGUACAUUUAAUGUAGAAAAAAAAUCAAAUUUUGUACUGUAUUUGUUUGUUUGAA